rnacentral:RNase_P_RNA from 1 species
AGAGUCCGUUGGGCGGUCGCGCCCGGAAGGGCGAGGAAAGUCCGGGCUCCGCAGGGCAAGGCGCUGGAUAACGUCCCGUCAGGGCGACCUGAAGGAAAGUGCCACAGAAAAGAAGACGCCGGUGAAAGCCGGCAAAGCUGAAACGGUGGUGUAAGAGACCACCAGCGGCCCGGAGACGGGCCGGCUGGGUAAACCCCGCCUGGAGCAAGCUCGAAGAGGGGGCGAUAGGGCGGCCCGUCCUGCCCCGGGUCGAGCGCACCGCGCGCGCGGGAGACCGCUGCGCCCAGAGAGAUGAUCGCCGCCCCGCAAGGGGUACAGAACUCGGCUUACAGACGGGCUCUCCCC